CCGUAGUCAUAUGCUUGUUUAAAGAUUAAGCCAUGCAUGUCUAAGUAUAAGCAAAAAUACAGCAAAACUGCAAAUGGCUCAUUAAAACAGUUAUGGUUUACUUGAUAAUAGUUUUUACAUGGAUAACCGUGGUAAUUCUACAGCUAAUACAUGAGCAAAAUCUCAACUUUAUUAGAAGAGACGCAUUUAUUAGAUAAAAAGCCAAUGCAUGCUUUUACAGUAUGAAAAUUGGUGAUUUAUAAUAACUUAGCAAAUCGCAAAGUGAAAACAGGCGAUAAAUCAUUCAAGUUUCUGACCUAUCAGCUUUCGACGGUAUGGUAUUGGCUUACCGUGGCAGUGACGGUUAACGGGGGAUUAGGGUUCGAUUCCGGAGAGGGAGCCUGAGAAACGGCUACCACAUCUAAGGAAGGCAGCAGGCGCGCAAAUUACCCAAUUCUAACAGUUUGAGAGAGGUAGUAACAAGAAAUAACAAUACAAGGCAGUUAAAAUGCUUUGUAAUUGGAAUGAUAGAAAUUUAAACCCUUUUUAAAGUAUCAAUUGGAGGGCAAGUCUGGUGCCAGCAGCCGCGGUAAUUCCAGCUCCAAUAGCGUAUAAUAAAAUUGUUGCAGUUAAAAAGCUCGUAGUUGAAGUUCUGCUAAAAGUAACCGGUCUGCUUUUAAUAAAGGUGGUAUCUUGGUGUGUAUUUAGCAAUGAUGUCCUUUGAAGUGUUUUUUACUUUAUUGUAAUAAAGCAUAUUCAGGACUUUUACUUUGAGAAAAUUAGAGUGUUUCUAGCAGGCUGACGCUUUGAAUACUGCAGCAUGGAAUAAUAAGAUAGGAUUUUAGUUCUACAUUAUUGGUUUUAAGAGCUAAAUUAAUGAUGAUA
rnacentral:rRNA from 1 species